CUUCUUCUUGACCCAGCAAUUGGAUUUCAAAUAUUAUAUAACGUUGAUUAAAAUUUCCUUUUCUCUCGAGCAACCAUGUAUAUUCCAAGCGUGAUGAAGGGAUUAGAUCAUCGUAUCGUAAAUUAUGCUUACUUCCAACCCCAAAGGCAGACUUUCUAUGUGCUUGUCUCUUUGCUUCGAGGGCCAGCGAACUCUUCACUCUAUAUGACAGAAACAGCCUAGAAUCCAGGGGGAAAUUUGAAAGUCAAACAAGGAAGGAACUGCAAGAUGGACAGAGCAAGGUCUGGUAGAAAUGUAUGAGAUUCGUUUCUCGCAAAUUACGAGAUACGGAAACGUUUAAAGUCAUUUACAGGCGGAAAUCUGUUCAAGACAGUCGCGGUAAUGUUUCGACGUUAUAUUUCAUACGUUAAGCCAGCUAUUAUUUAAAUAUGUUCUUUGAAAUUAAGUAAAAUCAAAGUAGCUGAAAAAGUACAGCUGAUAAAAUUACGUUCAAAACGUGAAUGAACAAUAAUUUUUACUUUCGUUACGCUGUUGUUAUCGAUUAUCCAUUAUUUCUUAUGGCAAGAAAUGGGAACGUGCUUAA